GUGGAUUCAGAGGGAAGAGCUGGACUGAGGAAAAGAAGGGAACAAGAGAAAAACAUUUAUGUUCUGGAGAGAGAGAGAGGAUGAGAAUGGGAGAAAGAAGCCAAGCAAGCAGGAAAAAAUAAGACAAGCAGGAAUGCAAGACCAGCUCUCUGCAGGAGAAGAGUGGAGUGAGGGACAGGUGAUGGACACAUUGAGUUUGAAAUUCUUCACCUAUGUCUACUGCAUAGCCAAAGUAUAACCCAUCCAGGUAACAUCUUUAACAUCUCAUGUCUCAGCAACAGAUUUAAUUAAUAGACUCACAGAGUCUGCCUGACUUCUGGUUCCUUUAGACUCUUUCCCCCGCUCCUCUUCUGGGGCAGAAGUGAGAACUGUCCAUAGAAAACAAUGGAGGAAUCCAGAAUUUCUAUGUAGUUGUGACGGGACAGCAGCAGCAGUGUGUCUCUUCUCUCAUCUCCAACCAAAGUUACAGAUUUCAUGAAGUGGAAGAAGGAGGCACAAAGGAGAUUAUCUGAUACAGUAGUGGGAACAAAUCAUUCUGUAAAAAUGAAAUAUUGAUUUGGUAUGUGCUCUGUGUGUGUGCACAUGUGAGCUGUAGAUCUCAAUUCAAUCCUACAUAUAGUGCAUGCAAAGAAAGCUAAAAUGGAAAAAUAAUUGUUCUUACAUACACAGUCACUAAGCUCUGACCUGUAGAUCUAUGAUAUGCAGGAAAUUAUCCCUGAAACAAAGGCACAAGGAGAACUUAUUAGCAUCUGAGGACUUCUUAAUUAGCAUGUGUAUGCUUAAUAAAUCUGUCAAGUGUG